AACGAACGCUGGCGGCAGGCUUAACACAUGCAAGUCGAACGCCCCUUCGGGGGAGUGGCAGACGGGUGAGUAACGCGUGGGAAUCUACCCAGUUCUACGGAACAACAGUUGGAAACGACUGCUAAUACCGUAUACGCCCUACGGGGGAAAGAUUUAUCGGAAUUGGAUGAGCCCGCGUAAGAUUAGCUAGUUGGUGGGGUAAUGGCCUACCAAGGCGACGAUCUUUAGCUGGUCUGAGAGGAUGAUCAGCCACACUGGGACUGAGACACGGCCCAGACUCCUACGGGAGGCAGCAGUGGGGAAUAUUGGACAAUGGGCGCAAGCCUGAUCCAGCCAUGCCGCGUGAGUGAUGAAGGCCUUAGGGUUGUAAAGCUCUUUCAGUAGGGAAGAUAAUGACGGUACCUACAGAAGAAGCCCCGGCUAACUUCGUGC
rnacentral:rRNA from 1 species